rnacentral:antisense_RNA from 1 species
AAUUAUGGUGGGUCGUACAGGGGCGGAGAAAUCCGCGCCGGUUCGUCAUUGUGUCCGGUAAGGCUAACCCUGUACGGCUCACCACCAUU